rnacentral:rRNA from 1 species
GGACCCGCACAAGUAGUGGAGCAUGUGGUUUAAUUCGAAGAUACGCGCAGAACCUUACCAACACUUGACAUGUUCGUCGCGACUUUAAGAGAUUAAAGUUUUCGGUUCGGCCGGACGAAACACAGGUGCUGCAUGGCUGUCGUCAGCUCGUGUCGUGAGAUGUUGGGUUAAGUCCCGCAACGAGCGCAACCCUCACUUUUAGUUGCCAUCAUUUAGUUGGGCACUCUGAAAGAACUGCCAGUGAUAAGCUGGAGGAAGGUGGGGAUGACGUCAAGUCCUCAUGGCCCUUACGUGUUGGGCUACACACGUGCUACAAUGGUAUUUACAACAGGAAGCAAGACGGCGACGUUAAGCAAAUCCCAUAAAACGUUUCGUAGUCCGGAUCGCAGUCUGCAACUCGACUGCGUG